rnacentral:rRNA from 1 species
GCUAAGGCCGAUGGCGACCGGCGCACGGGUGAGUAACACGUAUCCAACCUGCCGUCUACUCUUGGACAGCCUUCUGAAAGGAAGAUUAAUACAAGAUGGCAUCAUGAGUCCGCAUGUUCACAUGAUUAAAGGUAUUCCGGUAGACGAUGGGGAUGCGUUCCAUUAGAUAGUAGGCGGGGUAACGGCCCACCUAGUCUUCGAUGGAUAGGGGUUCUGAGAGGAAGGUCCCCCACAUUGGAACUGAGACACGGUCCAAACUCCUACGGGAGGCAGCAGUGAGGAAUAUUGGUCAAUGGGCGAGAGCCUGAACCAGCCAAGUAGCGUGAAGGAUGACUGCCCUAUGGGUUGUAAACUUCUUUUAUAAAGGAAUAAAGUCGGGUAUGGAUACCCGUUUGCAUGUACUUUAUGAAUAAGGAUCGGCUAACUCCGUGCCAGCAGCCGCGGUAAUACGGAGGAUCCGAGCGUUAUCCGGAUUUAUUGGGUUUAAAGGGAGCGUAGAUGGAUGUUUAAGUCAGUUGUGAAAGUUUGCGGCUCAACCGUAAAAUUGCAGUUGAUACUGGAUAUCUUGAGUGCAGUUGAGGCAGGCGGAAUUCGUGGUGUAGCGGUGAAAUGCUUAGAUAUCACGAAGAACUCCGAUUGCGAAGGCAGCCUGCUAAGCUGCAACUGACAUUGAGGCUCGAAAGUGUGGGUAUCAAACAGGAUUAGAUACCCUGGUAGUCCACACGGUAAACGAUGAAUACUCGCUGUUUGCGAUAUACUGCAAGCGGCCAAGCGAAAGCGUUA